AUUUGUUAUCUACUCUACAGGCAUGCUGUGAUCUUUAUUUUCCUUUCAACCUCAGCCACCAUCGAGCCUAAUAAGAACUGGCAUUAUGUUGAGUUUUUCUAAAAUGAUAUUGGGGUUGAGGCUUAUGUUUAGGGAUGACAGUAAAACCCAGCCAAAGCUAUGUUCUGAAAAAGCUCAGGAAGGCACAACAUGGAUGAGAGGAGUUCAGGGCUGCAGGAGAAGAAAUUCUUCGGCUGCCUGGUAGCAAAACUUGGUGUGAAGGACUCGAGGACUUGCAGGGGGAACAUUUCAUGGCAGGAGCUCACUGGUGGCAUUUCCAGAGCAAUGUGCCUUGAAACUCAUGAAGCAAAGAGGACAUUUAUGAAGUGA
rnacentral:lncRNA from 1 species